ACCCAGCUGACGAGUUCCAAAUGGGACGAAACGUGUCUCCUGGAU
rfam:Schistosoma margrebowiei strain Zambia genome assembly, scaffold: SMRZ_contig0001599